GGCAACUGCCAAGCAGCUUGAUGAAAAAAGAUCAACUGUUGGAGCAAUUAUUACAAAAUGGAAGAAGCUAAGCAUGACUGUCAAUCUCCCUCGGACUGGAGCUCCAUGCAAGAUCCUACCUCGUGGUGUAUCAAUGAUACUAAGAAAGGUGAAGAAUCAGCCCAGAACUGCACGGGAGGAGCUGUGUUGCCACCUGUCCCGGUUUUUCCUGAUUGUCCCGGAUUUUCAUGAUCUGUCCCGGAAAAAAAAAA